rnacentral:rRNA from 1 species
AGUGAACGCUGGCGGUAGGCCUAACACAUGCAAGUCGAACGGCAGCACAGUAAGAGCUUGCUCUUACGGGUGGCGAGUGGCGGACGGGUGAGGAAUACAUCGGAAUCUACUUUUUCGUGGGGGAUAACGUAGGGAAACUACGCUAAUACCGCAUACGACCUACGGGUGAAAGCAGGGGAUCUUCGGACCUUGCGCGAUUGAAUGAGCCGAUGUCGGAUUAGCUAGUUGGCGGGGUAAAGGCCCACCAAGGCGACGAUCCGUAGCUGGUCUGAGAGGACGAUCAGCCACACUGGAACUGAGACACGGUCCAGACUCCUACGGGAGGCAGCAGUGGGGAAUAUUGGACAAUGGGCGCAAGCCUGAUCCAGCCAUACCGCGUGGGUGAAGAAGGCCUUCGGGUUGUAAAGCCCUUUUGUUGGGAAAGAAAAGCAGCAGGUUAAUACCCCGCUGUUCUGACGGUACCCAAAGAAUAAGCACCGGCUAACUUCGUG